AUCGCUUCUCGGCCUUAUGGCUAAGAUCAAAGUGUAGUAUCUGUUCUUAUCAGCUUAACAACUGGUAGAUCCUCCAACGGAGGGCAAACAAUGUUAAAUUGAUUUUUGGAAAUUGGCGGAGAGUGUUUUAGAGAGCUUGCUCUAUCUCUGUCGUGGGUUGGCCCGGUUUUGCAGUACUACCAGGAAUUUCAGCCCAAUUUAA